AACGAACGCUGGCGGCAUGCCUAACACAUGCAAGUCGAACGAGACCUUCGGGUCUAGUGGCGCACGGGUGCGUAACGCGUGGGAACCUGCCCUUAGGUUCGGAAUAACUCCCCGAAAGGGGUGCUAAUACCGGAUAAUGUCUUCGGACCAAAGAUUUAUCGCCUUUGGAUGGGCCCGCGUUGGAUUAGCUAGUUGGUAGGGUAAAAGCCUACCAAGGCGAAGAUCCAUAGCUGGUCUGAGAGGAUGAUCAGCCACACUGGGACUGAGACACGGCCCAGACUCCUACGGGAGGCAGCAGGGGGGAAUAUUGGACAAUGGGCGAAAGCCUGAGCCAGCAAGGCCGCGUGAGUGAUGAAGGCCUUAGGGUUGUAAAGCUCUUUUACCCGGGAUGAUAAUGACAGUACCGGGAGAAUAAGCUCCGGCUAACUCCGUG
rnacentral:rRNA from 1 species